rnacentral:lncRNA from 1 species
UGAUGCUAUGAUGCCAUGACCUCCAACUGGGCAAGCUCUGGCUGAGCACUAGUCAACUCUGUGGACUCGGGCAACUGAGCACUAAUCUGCAUGUCCUCCAGAUCAACAUGAGCCUUCACGGUAUCCUUUGUGCUUCCUUUGACAUUGAGGAUGGUAUAAAAUAUAUUAUCAAAUAUAUUCUUUUCAAUGUGCAUGACGUCAAGAUUGUGUCGAAGAAGAAGCAUUUUUCAAUAUGAA